rnacentral:snRNA from 1 species
UUGCUCGCUUUGGCGGCACAUAUAGUAAAGUUGGAACAAUACAGAGAAGAUUAGCAUGGCCCCUGAGCAAGGAUGACACACAAAUUCAUGAACUGUUCCAUAGUAAA